rnacentral:rRNA from 1 species
CCCGCACAAGCGGUGGAGCAUGUGGUUUAAUUCGAUGCAACGCGAAGAACCUUACCUGGGCUUGACAUCCCGAGAAUCCCCUGGAAACAGGGGAGUGCCUUUCGGGGAACUCGGAGACAGGUGCUGCAUGGCUGUCGUCAGCUCGUGUCGUGAGAUGUUGGGUUAAGUCCCGCAACGAGCGCAACCCUUGUCUUUAAUUGCCAGCAUUCAGUUGGGCACUUUAAAGAGACUGCCGGUGUUAAGCCGGAGGAAGGUGGGGAUGACGUCAAGUCCUCAUGGCCUUUAUGCCCAGGGCUACACACGUGCUACAAUGGGUGGUACAAAGAGAUGCCAACUCGCGAGAGCGCGCCAAUCUCAGAAAGCCAUCCUCAGUUCGGAUUGGAGUCUGCAACUCGACUCCAUGAAGUUGGAAUCGCUAGUAAUCGCGGAUCAGCACGCCGCGGUGAAUACGUUCCCGGGCCUU